rnacentral:rRNA from 1 species
GGAUAACACCUGGAAACAGAUGCUAAUACCGGAUAACAACAGAUGAUGCCUAUCAACUGUUUAAAAGAUGGUUCUGCUAUCACUCUUGGAUGGACCUGCGGUGCAUUAGCUAGUUGGUAGGGUAACGGCCUACCAAGGCGAUGAUGCAUAGCCGAGUUGAGAGACUGAUCGGCCACAUUGGGACUGAGACACGGCCCAAACUCCUACGGGAGGCAGCAGCC